GACGGGGGGGGCAAGUGUUCUUCGGAAUGACUGGGCGUAAAGGGCACGUAGGCGGUGAAUCGGGUUGAAAGUGAAAGUCGCCAAAAACUGGCGGAAUGCUCUCGAAACCAAUUCACUUGAGUGAGACAGAGGAGAGUGGAAUUUCGUGUGUAGGGGUGAAAUCCCGAGAUCUACAAAGGAACGCCAAAAGCGAAGGCAGCUCUCUGGGCCGAUACUGACGCUGAGGAGCGAAAGCGUGGGGAGCGAACAGG
rnacentral:rRNA from 1 species